rnacentral:rRNA from 1 species
UACGUAGGGUGCAGGCGUUAAUCGGAAUUACUGGGCGUAAAGCGUGCGCAGGCGGCCUCUUAAGUCAGAUGUGAAAUCCCCGGGCUUAACCUGGGAACUGCGCUUGAAACUGGGAGGCUAGAGUGUGGAAGAGGGGGGUGGAAUUCCAGGUGUAGCAGUGAAAUGCGUAGAGAUCUGGAGGAACACCGAUGGCGAAGGCAGCCCCCUGGGCUGACACUGACGCUCAUGCACGAAAGCGUGGGGAGCAAACAGG